CUUUAUUGGGGGAGGACGGUGUGGUGGCCUCCUGCAGGCCUUUGUUGGGCAGUCGGGCUCGGAGGUUCUGCGGUCGGGCCCGGCUGGCGCUGUGGGUGCUGGGGUCAGUAUGAUGUUGCACUCUGAGCAUUUUCCUGCUGUUUGGAGGGUCAAGCGUGUGAGCGGUUUCUAUGCGCCCAGGCUUUUCGGGUGCGUGGGGGCUCACAGGGUGCCCAUGGGCGUGGGACCUAUGGUGGACGGGGCAUCGUCCUUGAUUUGUCGGCUGGAAGGGGUAGUGGCGGCCUGGGCUGCGCAGCAUCUUGAGGGGUGCCGGCAUGUGGUGGCC
rnacentral:lncRNA from 1 species